rnacentral:tRNA from 1 species
GGGUGUGUGGCGGAACUGGUAUACGCGUACGACUCAAAAUCGUAUGGCCGCAAGGCCGUGUGGGUUCGACUCCCACCACGCCCACAA